GUAGGUGGCAAGCGUUGUCCGGAAUUAUUGGGCGUAAAGCGCGCGCAGGUGGUUCUUUAAGUCUGAUGUGAAAGCCCCCGGCUCAACCGAGGAGGGUCAUUGGAAACUGGGGAACUUGAGUGCAGGAGAGGAAAGUGGAAUUCCACGUGUAGCGGUGAAAUGCGUAGAUAUGUGGAGGAACACCAGUGGCGAAGGCGACUUUCUGGCCUGUAACUGACACUGAGGCGCGAAAGCGUGGGGAGCAAACAGGGAUUAGAUACCCUGGUAGUCCACGCCGUAAACGAUGAGUGCUAAGUGUUGGGGGGGUUUCCCGCCCCUCAGUGCUGCAGCUAACGCAUUAAGCACUCCGCCUGGGGAGUACGGUCGCAAGACUG
rnacentral:rRNA from 1 species